rnacentral:tRNA from 1 species
GCCAACGUAGCUCAGUGGUAGAGCAGCAGUUUCGUAAACUGCAGGUCGUGGGUUCGAUCCCCACCGUUGGCUCCA